UACGGGGGGAGCAAGCGUUGUUCGGAUUUACUGGGCGUAAAGGGCUCGUAGGCGGUCUGUUGCGUCGGGAGUGAAAACUUACAGCUUAACUGUGAGCGUGCUUCCGAUACGGGCAGACUUGAGGUAUUCAGGGGAGAACGGAAUUCCUGGUGUAGCGGUGAAAUGCGCAGAUAUCAGGAGGAACACCGGUGGCGAAGGCGGUUCUCUGGGAAUAUCCUGACGCUGAGGAGCGAAGGUGUGGGGAGCGAACAGG
rnacentral:rRNA from 1 species